UACGUAGGGGGCAAGCGUUAUCCGGAUUUACUGGGUGUAAAGGGAGCGUAGACGGCGAUGCAAGCCAGAUGUGAAAGCCCGGGCCUCAACCCCGGGACUGCAUUUGGAACUGUAUAGCUAGAGUGUCGGAGAGGCAGGCGGAAUUCCUAGUGUAGCGGUGAAAUGCGUAGAUAUUAGGAGGAACACCAGUGACGAAGGCGGCCUGCUGGACGAUGACUGACGUUGAGGCUCGAAAGCGUGGGGAGCAAACAGG
rnacentral:rRNA from 1 species